AGCUCGUGUCGUGAGAUGUUGGUUAAGUCCGCCAACGAGCGCAACCCUUGUUCAUUAGUUGCUACAUUCAGUUGGGCGACUCUAAUGAGACUGCCGGUGACAAGACCGGAGGAAGGUGGGGAUGACGUCAAGUCCUCAUGGCCCUUAUAGGUGGGGCUACACACGUCAUACAAUGGAUGGUACAAAGGGUCGCCAACCCGCGAGGGGGAGCCAAUCCCAUAAAGCCAUUCGUAGUCCGGAUCGCAGUCUGCAACUCGACUGCGUGAAGUCGGAAUCGCUAGUAAUCGUGGAUCAGAAUGUCACGGUGAAUACGUUCCCGGGUCUU
rnacentral:rRNA from 1 species